GGAGGAGAGGAUGACGAUGACAAUGUAAAGGACAGAAAAUGGAACGUUGAGCCUGAGCAGGAGAGCAGGGAGGAGAGCCCUAGUGCACCAGCAGGGAGACCGGGUCUAGCCAGGAGCAGAGAAGUCCCAUGCUUGGUGUUAACAGUCCACGCAUUUGAUGACACAUCUCCCAUCCUCCUUGGAACCCAGGCAGGGCUUUGUGAGUGUUUCCACGGGGAGCAGCACCACAAAGCCCUGAGCCACCAGCCUCGGAAGAGAGGCCACGCUGGAGCCGCAGGGCGCCGCAGACACCCGAGCCGCCCCGGGCUCGGGCCGAGCUCCCGGCCCCACCACACCCGUGAGGGAGGCAGUUUUCAGCGGAGUCCAGCCCCGGGGAACUGACUGCCAGGGCCUGAGACACCGAGCACCAGAGCUGCCUCCCGGAGCACAGCUGACCCUCGAACCCAGGACACAGAAGAGUAGAGGAUUGUUGCAGUUGUAAGCCCAGGCACUCCGGGGCCACCCGUGAGGCGUGCGUCCAGGCACCGCGUGUGGGCACAGAAGGCCGGGCUUUGCAGAGCUACACUCUGCCUCCGUUUCGUUCCUCUCAGCCACAUCCCUCACGGAGGGAAAUUCAUCUUGAGAUGGGGAUACUGGUGGCCUAGAACAAUGACCGCCAUGCUCACCGCCAGUCCUUUACCCAGCCAACCGGUCAGGAGGCCAAC